AGCUGGUGGUGGAGCACCCUUUUAGCUGAUGAGAAGCCCUCAAUCACUGCCAGCUGCACGCUGCCCCUGAACUCUAUCUUGCAACUCCCACCUUCCUAGAAGAUGUUACACAGCCAUGCUUUAGUGAGCUAUCAAUUAAGGGAAUAUAGCUACCCUAAGGAAGGUUCUACACCCACCCCACUUCCUUAGUGAUACACUACACCCUUCUAUGAAGCUUGCAACUGGAAUGUUUCUUGAGUUGCAGCUCUUCCAUGUGCCCCAGGACAGCCUGCUGGAGAAGGGCAUCUUUGUCCCAGCACAGUGGAUUGAGGUUUUCCUGUUGUUUGUGGGCUGCUACAGGGCUGGGUCCUCUGUGUGCAUGAAUUGUGAAGUGUGCCUGCAGUCCAGCCACGUCCUGAGCCCCCACACCAAGUGCAGAUGGAUUGGUUCUUUGGCCAUUACCUCCAAGAUAUGGGAAUACCCUAUGUUUGCUUCUAAGUGUGCUUGGUAAGAUUUGUUUUCCUAAGAGCUGAUCCAGGAAUUGAAGAAAUGAGCUCCUGAGCCACUUUGCAGGAGAUGGUUAAGGUCAGCUGAAUGUUUUCCAUGAUUAAAGUACACACUGCUGAGUAAAUACAGGGAAGAAUUAUAUGCUAUUUGACUAGCUGCUAAUUACAGUGAGCUCUUCCCAACUGCACUUCCUUUAUAAAAGAUGAAAGACAGAUCCCUCAAAAUUCUCAUAUUUAGUUCCUUUGGAGAAAAUGGUCUGGUAAAUAAAACAAGUAUUACUGCUCUAGUUUGUAUCA
rnacentral:lncRNA from 1 species